GAAGUGUUGGUGGGAAUUAGGGACAUCAUUCAGAGGUGAGUAGGAGCAGACCUCCACAUGCAGCUCAACCCUUGAGCCCUUUUCCACUGUUACUUUCUCCCCUUCUUUUAGGCAGUCAGAGAGCAGUGUUCAGCUGCCCAGCAGUACAGCACCACAUUGACUACCCAGCCACUAUCCUCAGAGAUCUCUGAAGCAUUGGGCAGCUCUUUCAGCUCUCAGGAGAGUACAGUUUGACAAGGUGCUGGAGCUCUGUGGCAUAGCCUGUAAUUGGGCAGCGCUGGUAACAACUGAACGGAAUGGAGGUUGGAAUGUAAAAAAAGAAGCAAAACAAUCAAUUUUAUUACCACUAAAUCCUGUGAAGCUAACCCCUGCUACCUGUAUCCACAUUUUCAUCACUUAUAUUCCUUCUGGAGCAUGUUUUGAGAGAAGGAAACUUAAUCUUGAAGAUUAAUAACACUCAGGAACGCAGCUGCUGACAUACCUGUGUGUUUGACUUGAGGCUGCUACAGCCAGUUUCUUCUCCAGGGCCUGGAUAUCCUCUGCAGUCAGUCUCACCAGGCGAACGCCAGCCAGCCGCAGCAAGGGGGAAUGAUGCUGAGCCUUCCCGAGGAUGUAGCACAAUUGCUGGAUCAGAAACCAGCCCUCCCAGGCCAUGUUUAUAAAGGGGUAGGCAGCUAGAAAGGCUCGGUAAAAACGCUUCCAGGAGGAUGAUGGAGGAUGGAUGGAGUACUCAUCCUCUUCCCUAAGGCUGGACACGAGCUUCUCUAGCUUUCCUUUUAGGUAAGGAACAAGAAUCAGCAGCAGGAGAGACUUCCAGUGCUGCUUCUUUGGCAGGCCAGCAGUGGCCAAAGGUUGCUGUUUGCAAUCUCCUGUCGGUAUCCUCUUUAAGCUAUAAAAGUUCUCAGAAAAGGAGGCGCUGCACCUGGCCAGGUAGUGCUGCUGGAGCAGAAAAUCCAGAAGGACAUAGAUCUCAUCAAACCUGCGCCAGAGGAGGCCGUACUGGCCAGGAUUAGACUCAGCGAGCACCUGCAUGGAAAGAGACACAACAGGCAUGGAUCUGGGAGUGCUGUGAGUUAUGCCUUCAAGCUGGGUGUGCCAAAGCUGCUCCGGUAGCUUAUGAGAAUCAUGGAAUCAUUAAGGUUGUAAGAGGCCUUUCAGGUCCCCAAGUCCAACCCCGGCCCACCCCACCAUGCCCACUGACCACAUCCCUCAGUGCCACAUCUCUACAGCUCUGGAACACCUCCAGGGACGGAGACUCCCCCCAGUCCCUGGGCAGCUGUGCCACCACAUCACAGCUCUUUCCAAGAAGAAAUGUU
rnacentral:lncRNA from 1 species